UACUCCUUUCUUUCUUCUUUUCCACGAGUCUUUAUUCUCCUUUGAGUAGCCUUGGCCGAACCACAAUUUUAAGGAAGAACAAGUUUUGUGCAUGAAUUUCUAGGCCAUAAAACUCUUAGCUUUGUACACAAAAUUGGAAGCCUUUGAUCUUGUGAGUACCACCUAGUCUUUAGAUUAUUGAGAGGGGCUAUUUUGAGUGAGAUUAUCCUUCUCUUUUCCAUUGACCUACAUGCUAGUUUGGGUAUUUGGAAUGAGCUUUUGAGUAGUUUGAAGUGUGGAGAUUGAUUACCUGUUAUCGUGGAAGUUAUCUAAGGUUGGAGACGAGCAAUCUAGUGUUGGAAGAUUAGUUGUUGGGAACUUGGAAGUAAUUUCUUGAAGACCAAGUAAGCUUGAUUUGGGAGCUUCGAGAGGUACUCCGACAGCGGCAAGAUAGUUAUCCUAGAGUAGGAGAAUGGCUCAGGAUUAAAGUAUGCUUAGCUUUGGGAGAUUUGAUGAGAUAUUAUGGGAUUUAUGUACAUAUGUUUUGUAGCAUGACGUAUGAUCAUGCAUAUGUAUAUUUUGAUGUCUGUAUUUGAUAAAUAUGUAUUUGUAUGGUGUAUUCAGUUAUUUAAUUUGGACUCUAUUAUGUAUAAGUAAUUAUAUCUGUUAAGAUUAAGUAUGAGACAGUUCGCAU